UAAAGAGGGUGCGAGCGUAAAUCGGAAUUACUGGGCGUAAAGCGCACGUAGGUGGCGACGUAAGUCGGGUGUGAAAGCCACGGGCUCAACCUGGGAAUUGCAUUCGAGACUGCAUUGCUCGAGUACGGAAGAGGAAGGCGGAAUUCCUGGUGUAGCGGUGAAAUGCGUAGAUAUCGGGAGGAACAUCAGUGGCGAAGGCGGCCUUCUGGUCCAGUACUGACACUCAAGUGCGAAAGCGUGGGGAGCAAACAGG
rnacentral:rRNA from 1 species